ensembl:misc_RNA
GAGACAGCCCUGGGGAAUGAAAUUGUUUGUUUAUCCACAGAACACGUACAGCAUGGGCAGCAGCAGCGCAGUCUUUCCCAUGCUGUUUCGUUGCUUUCUUCAGCCUUGCCCUCCAGUGACAAUAUAUAGAGGUGUGAAGGCAGCUCUCAGUCCAUGCCCUGCCCAAACGCCAGGUGCU